GUGAGUUUGAUGCACGGGGUGAAAUGUGUUUUUUUCGAAAAAAUGGUACGCCCGCAGCCCUUCUCUGCCUUGCCCUGCUGCCUUCUCCCAUUGUACCCUUCUCAGGACUCUCUCCCCAUCGCCACCCACGUUCCCUCUGUGCGGGCGUCUCUUCCACGAGGAAGGAAGCACUAGCUCUUGCUGCCGUGGCCUGCGAUCGAGUUCGGAGGGAGGGAAUGCUAAAGGAAGAUUGCAGGAUUCUCAAUUGAUUGCAGGACUUUGCUGGGAGGGGAGACUCGGGAAUUCAGGAUACAGUGGUUAUGGAUAGUUGAAGAUGUGAACAUUAUGGGAGCUUGUGUAUUCUGGAACCGCGGGUGGGAUUCAAACCUCUGCCCCUUUGAGUAUGAGCUGCCUUGCCACUCUCACCCUUAUUCCCACAUAUAAAAAUUUGAAAUCAUACUUCAAUUUAAAUAGGUGUUUGAGCUAAAAAUAAAUCCACUUACCUAUCUUUAGUGGGGUUAAAUUGAGUUUUUGUAGUGUGCAAAACUUCGUCUGUAUAGUAGAUGCCAUCAAGAAGCUAAUUUGCAUUUAGAUAUC